rnacentral:misc_RNA from 1 species
GGAGUUCACCGAGACGCAGAUGAACGAGGGGCUUCCCGAAGCCCGGCUGCCCGAUCGCUUCGCCUCCGACGACUACCAGCUGCUCAUCGUCGCUGAGAAGUACCAGACCGGCUACGACCAGCCGCUGCUGCACACCAUGUACGUCGACAAGAAGCUCGAAGGCGUCAAAGCGGUCCAGACGCUGUCGCGGCUCAACCGCGCCUACACGGGCAAAGACGACACCUUCAUCCUGGACUU